rnacentral:rRNA from 1 species
GAAAAGAAAUCAACCGAGAUUCCCCCAGUAGCGGCGAGCGAACGGGGAGCAGCCCAGAGUCUGAAUCAGCUUGUGUGUUAGUGGAACGGUCUGGAAAGUCCGACGGUACAGGGUGAUAGUCCCGUACACCAAAAUGCACAGGUUGUGAACUCGAAGAGUAGGGCGGGACACGUGGUAUCCUGUCUGAAUAUGGGGGGACCAUCCUCCAAGGCU